UGAGGUUUGGCUAUGUUGUUGGAUGUUGCUGCUGCUGCAAUUUGUGCAAAAACUGUAGCUGCAAUUGUUGCUCCGAGGUGUUUUGUUGAGACAUUUGAGCCACUGGAUGAUUUGGUGUCACCCUCUGUUGCUGGCUUUGUUGCAACACCUGCAGUGGGGAUUGUUGUAACUGUGUCUGUUGUAACUUUGAUGCUUUUUGACAGAAAACC
rnacentral:lncRNA from 1 species